rnacentral:rRNA from 1 species
UACGAAGGGGGCUAGCGUUGCUCGGAAUCACUGGGCGUAAAGCGCACGUAGGCGGAUCUUUAAGUCAGGGGUGAAAUCCUGGAGCUCAACUCUGGAAUGGCCUUUGAUACUGGCGAGCUUGAGUUCGGGAGAGGUGAGUGGAACUGCGAGUGUAGAGGUGAAAUUCGUAGAUAUUCGCAAGAACACCAGUGGCGAAGGCGGCUCACUGGCCCGAUACUGACGCUGAGGUGCGAAAGCGUGGGGAGCAAACAGG